rnacentral:rRNA from 1 species
UUUAAAGUCUAAUCUGCCCUAUGAGGAUUUAAAUGGCCGCGGUAUUUUGACCGUGCAAAGGUAGCAUAAUAAUUAGUUUUUUAAUUGAAAGCUGGAAUGAAUGAUUGAACGAGAAAAUAGCUGUCUCAAUUUAAUUUUAUUAGAAUUUUAUUUUUAAGUAAAAAAGCUUAAAUUGGAUUAAAAGACGAGAAGACCCUAUAGAGUUUUAUAUUUAAUUGAUUAUUAAUUUUUUAGAGGAUUUUUAUUAUUAUUUAAUUAAGUAUUUUGUUGGGGUGAUAGAAAAAUAUAGUUAACUUUUUUUUAAAAAAUUUUAACAUUAAUUUAUGAUUGUUUGAUCCAUUAUUUAUGAUUAGAAGAUUAAGUUACCUUAGGGAUAACAGCGUAAUUUUUUUUUAGAGUUCUUAUCGAAAGAAAAGAUUGCGACCUCGAUGUUGGAUUAAAAUUAAUAUAGGGUGUAGAAGCUUUAUUAUUAGGUCUGUUCGACCUUUGAAAUUUUACA